UACGGAGGGUGCAAGCGUUGUUCGGAUUCACUGGGUAUAAAGGGUGCGCAGGCGGUCUGAUAAGUCAGAGGUGAAAUAUGUCGGCUCAACCGGCAAACGGCCUCUGAAACUGCCAGACUUGAGUUAGAGAGAGGUAAGUGGAAUUCCAGGUGUAGCGGUGAAAUGCGUAAAUAUCUGGAGGAACACCGGUGGCGAAGGCGGCUUACUGGCUCUAUACUGACGCUCAGGCACGAAAGCAUGGGGAGCGAAC
rnacentral:rRNA from 1 species